rnacentral:lncRNA from 1 species
AAAAAACCACCAAGUGUUGAAGGGCCCCGCACUAUCGCUGUGUCAGAUAGAGAUGGAAUGCACAUCAUUAAAGUGGCCAACGAAAAUGACCCAGAGCGUGCCCGGAGACCAGGUGUCUCACUAACUUUUGCCCUCGCAACACGCCAGCCAGCAAGCCAACCUGGACUUUCAAAACACAAGCUUGGACUUAUCUGUUAACUUUAACACCUACCAGGUGGUUUACCUUUAGUAGUUUGUUUGUUUCACAGCCAGCAGCAAUGCCAAUAUGGCAGUCAUUGUCAGCCUAGAAAAGGAACUCGCUCCAUUAUUUGAAGAACUGAGACAAGCUGUGGAAGUUUCUUA